UAAGUGAAGGGAGCAGCUGUGUCUGCAGUGCGGCUGAAACAACAGAAAACAAAGUGCUGAACUGUUGUGGCUUUUAAGCGGUGUGUCUGCUACCUGACACAGAUUACUUUGACAUUUUCUGACAUUUGAGAAAGAAAGCAACUGGAGGUGGUUGUGCUGCAGAGAGCACAGCAAAGGCCAGGGGUCAAAACACAUCCAAUUAUUUUUCCACAAGACGUGACAAGAAAUGCUGCCAUAAAUACACUAAUCAGAGAAAGGAAGAGAGGAGGAGGCAGAGCCAGAAAAAGCUGACGAAGGCUCUGAGAGAACCGCUUCAGCUGGAAAAAGUCCUCCAACAUCUUCCAUCCAUGUGUGAAGCAGCGCCUCCAUGAGUGUUUUACUGCGAUUACUGACGAGUGUACCGCUAAUUUGGGUUUGUAGGUGUCACCCCGAGAGGUAUGCUGUAGUGCCUGAAAAAUGACCCACGCCCACACCCAUCAGCAGCAGCAACCCACAUACCAACCAACAGCCUGUUUACAGCCACCACAGCAAACAGCAGCGCUGGAAACCUUCAGCUGUUUGGUGAACUGUUGCCAUGAAACGGGCCUUACUGAUCAAUGCAAAUGUGUUUGUUUAUACCUGGCCAGAGUCCAUCAAACAUGGCUCACAGAUACCUGCAAGAUCAGGUUACUAUUGUUUCUCAGCUCUGCACUAACUCCCCUAUCAACACGUCAGCUGUAAACAGGACCAGCAGCUGUCAGGACGGCUUUAAAUACCCAGCAAACGCUCAGCAGGGACGUCAGCAGAAACACGCGGGCUGAUGUUUCCACCGGAGGGUCGGACGGGUCCGAAGCUGAAACCACUCACAGGAUUAAGCUAAUGGGAACCACGGUCGCAUCCAUUAGAUAAAACUUGACCCAGUUUAGCUGCUGUGCCUAAACCAUCAAAGCUAACAAUAAGAACCUUCGACUGCAGGCCAGCC